rnacentral:piRNA from 1 species
UUGUUUUUAAAAUUUGAGCUGACCUUGGU